UACGUAGGGGGCCAGCGUUGUCCGGAAUCAUUGGGCGUAAAGCGCGCGUAGGCGGUCAGGUAAGUCCGGUGUGAAAGUCAAAGGCUCAACCUUUGAAUGCCGCUGGAUACUGCUUGACUUGAGUCCGGAAGGGGCGAGUGGAAUUCCUGGUGUAGCGGUGAAAUGCGCAGAUAUCAGGAGGAACACCAAUGGCGAAGGCGGCUCUCUGGGACGGUACUGACGCUGAGACGCGAAAGCGUGGGGAGCGAACAGG
rnacentral:rRNA from 1 species